rnacentral:rRNA from 1 species
UACGUAGGGGGCAAGCGUUGUCCGGAUUUAUUGGGCGUAAAGGGCGUGUAGGCGGCUUUACAGGUCCGUUGUGAAAACUCGAGGCUCAACCUCGAGACGCCGGUGGAAACCGUAAAGCUAGAGUCCGGAAGAGGAGAGUGGAAUUCCUGGUGUAGCGGUGAAAUGCGCAGAUAUCAGGAAGAACACCCGUGGCGAAGGCGGCUCUCUGGGACGGUACUGACGCUGAGACGCGAAAGCGUGGGGAGCGAACAGG